rnacentral:rRNA from 1 species
GACGAACCGUGCAAACGUUAUUCGGAAUCACUGGGCAUAAAGGGCGCGUAGGCGGCUUUCUAAGUCAGGGGUGAAAUCCGGCAGCUCAACUGUCGCAGUGCCUUUGAUACUGGAGAGCUCGAGGGAGGUAGGGGUCUGUGGAACUUCCGGUGGAGCGGUGAAAUGCGUUGAUAUCGGAAGGAACGCCGGUGGCGAAAGCGACGGACUGGAUCUCUUCUGACGCUGAGGCGCGAAAGCGUGGGGAGCAAACAGG